rnacentral:rRNA from 1 species
GUGCCAGCAGCCGCGGUAAUACGUAGGGGGCAAGCGUUGUCCGGAAUUAUUGGGCGUAAAGCGCGCGCAGGCGGCUUGUUAAGUUUGAUGUUUAAGCCCGGGGCUCAACCCCGGAUCGCAUCAAAAACUGGCAGGCUUGAGUGCAGAAGAGGAGAGUGGAAUUCCACGUGUAGCGGUGAAAUGCGUAGAGAUGUGGAGGAACACCAGUGGCGAAGGCGACUCUCUGGUCUGUAACUGACGCUGAGGCGCGAAAGCGUGGGGAGCAAACAGGAUUAGAUACCCUGGUAGUCC